CUUGCCUUAAACUAUGUAUACUUGGUGUAAUUAGGCUCAACCCUGAUUGUACCGUAGCGAACGCGUUAAGUAUACCGCCUGGGGAGUACGCUCGCAAGGGUAAAACUCAAAAGAAUUGACGGGGACCCGCACAAGCAGUGGAGCAUGUGGUUUAAUUCGAUGCAACGCGAAGAACCUUACCUGGACUUGACAUGCUUUUGACAACCGUAGAAAUACGGCUUUCUCGCAAGAGACAGAAGCACAGGUGC
rnacentral:rRNA from 1 species